rnacentral:rRNA from 1 species
GACGAACCGUGCGAACGUUGUUCGGAAUCACUGGGCUUAAAGGGCGCGUAGGCGGGCUCGCCAGUCAGGGGUGAAAGCCCACGGCUCAACCGUGGAAGUGCCUUUGAUACUGCGAGUCUUGAGCGAGGUAGGGGCGUGCGGAACUUCCGGUGGAGCGGUGAAAUGCGUAGAUAUCGGAAGGAACACCGGUGGCGAAAGCGGCGCGCUGGACCUCUUCUGACGCUGAGGCGCGAAAGCUAGGGUAGCAAACGGG